rnacentral:rRNA from 1 species
UUCCAGACUCCUACGGGAGGCAGCAGUGAGGAAUAUUGGUCAAUGGGCGGGAGCCUGAACCAGCCAAGCCGCGUGAAGGAAGAAGGCGCCAGGCGUCGUAAACUUCUUUUGUCGGGGAACAAAGGGCGCCACGUGUGGCGUUGUGAGUGUACCCGAAGAAAAAGCAUCGGCUAACUCCGUGCCAGCAGCCGCGGUAAUACGGAGGAUGCGGGCGUUAUCCGGAUUUAUUGGGUUUAAAGGGUGCGUAGGCGGUCCGGAAAGUCAGCGGUAAAAGCCCGGGGCUCAACCCCGGCCGGCCGUUGAAACUGGCGUGCUCGAGUUGGAGAGAAGUAUGCGGAAUUCGUGGUGUAGCGGUGAAAUGCAUAGAUAUCACGAAGAACCCCGAUUGCGAAGGCAGCAUACCGGCUCCACACUGACGCUGAGGCACGAAAGCGUGGGUAUCGAACAGGAUUAGAUACCCUUGUAUA